ensembl:lncRNA
AAGAGGAGAAAGGGUCCUCUGCUGCUGUAUGUUGCCUGAUGCAUAACUGCCUGAUAUACAACAGCAGCAAAGAAAUCUCUUGUGUAUGUCAUGGAGCACAAUGAAGCCCCUUCUAUGCCUUCAUUCAGACACAGAGGGAGGAAGACCUGACAACUCCAAACAAGGAGAGUUUCUCCAUGCUGCAGUAAGGAACUUCCCAUAGUACCAAGCUUUAACAUGUCACGAUCCUGUGAGCUCGACAAAUGAAAAUGCAGCAGUGGUUUCUCUGCUUCAAGCUGAGACCAGUGUCUCAUGAACUCAUGGCCAGCAUGAAUUAGAAAUCUGCUGCCUCCUCCUGCCCAGGACUUUUCAAUGACAGGCACAGCUGCAUCCCAUGAAGACCAUCCAAACUAUCUCUUGAAGGAAGACAGUAAACAAAGCAACAAACUGAUGCUCAUUCUGCAGAUGUUGAAGAUAACUGUUCGUGCUGGCACACAGUGGGGUUCUUACUCCUUACGCUAUGGAGCAUUCACCAAAACUCUCAUGAAUUAGAGACUAUAUUACUUUAGAGAAUGAGCUCCAGUUAUGAUGAACUGAGCCAGCAGAGCCACAUAGCAACAUCACCAUUCUGCUGGCUGCUGUCAGUUCUCCUGUCUGUCUCCAUGUUUCCAGAAGGAUGAUGAUCUGUUCCUGGAGUGAUGUGUUAUCUCAGCUGUUCAGCCAAGGGAUGAUACAAUAUGAACACAUGAGCUCUUACUGGUAUUGAAGAAUGCUCUCAAAUUAAGUAGCUG